rnacentral:rRNA from 1 species
GUGGGGAAUAUUGCACAAUGGGGGAAACCCUGAUGCAGCAAUGCCGCGUGUGUGAAGAAGGCCUGCGGGUUGUAAAGCACUUUCAAUUGGGAAGAAAAGCGAAGGGCUAAUACCUCUUUGUCUUGACGUUACCUUUAGAAGAAGCACCGGCUAACUCCGUGCCAGCAGCCGCGGUAAUACGGAGGGUGCGAGCGUUAAUCGGAAUUACUGGGCGUAAAGCGCGCGUAGGCGGUUUAGUCAGUCAGAUGUGAAAGCCCUGGGCUCAACCUGGGAACUGCAUUUGAUACUGCUGGACUGGAGUAUGGUAGAGGGAAGUGGAAUUCCGGGUGUAGCGGUGAAAUGCGUAGAUAUCCGGAGGAACACCAGUGGCGAAGGCGACUUCCUGGACCAAUACUGACGCUGAGGCGCGAAAGCGUGGGUAGCAAACAGGAUUAGAAACCCUAGUAGUCC